GACGUUAAACACGUGGCUCAGUGGUUAGAGAGUCUGGCUCCUAAUCUCGAGGUCUCGGGUUCGAACCUCGCUGACGUCG